rnacentral:rRNA from 1 species
AGCAGCCGCGGUAAUUCCAGCUCCAAUAGCGUAUAUUAAAGUUGUUGCAGUUAAAAAGCUCGUAGUUGAAUUUCGGGGUCUGUCCAUUGGUCGGGCUUCACGGUCCGUACUGGUGUGAUGGGUUCCUACCUUCUGAAUAACCAGCAUGCCAUUCAUUUGGUGCGUUGGUGAAGCAGAGCUAUUACCUUGAAAAAUUAGAGUGCUUAAAGCAAGCUAGUGCUUGAAUAGAUUAGCAUGGAAUAAUAAAAUAGGACGGCUUGGUUCUAUUUUGUUGGUUUCUAGGAUCACCGUAAUGAUUAAUAGGGAUAGUUGGGGGCAUUAGUAUUCAAUUGUCAGAGGUGAAAUUCUUGGAUUUAUUGAAGACUAACUUCUGCGAAAGCAUUUGCCAAGGAUGUUUUCAUUAAUCAAGAACGAAAGUUAGGGGAUCGAAGACCAUCAGAUACCGUCGUAGUCUUAACCAUAAACUAUGCCGACUAGGGAUCGGACGAUGUUAAUUUUUAAUGACUUCGUUCGGCGUACC